rnacentral:rRNA from 1 species
UACAGAGGUCUCAAGCGUUGUUCGGAUUCAUUGGGCGUAAAGGGUGCGUAGGCGGCGCGGUAAGUCGGGUGUGAAAUCUCGGAGCUUAACUCCGAAACUGCAUUCGAUACUGCCGUGCUUGAGGACUGGAGAGGAGACUGGAAUUUACGGUGUAGCGGUGAAAUGCGUAGAUAUGACAUAGAACACCAAUUGCGAAGGCAGCUCACUACACAAUCAUUGACGCUGAGGCACGAAAGCGUGGGGAUCAAACAGG